GACAGAGGUGCCAAGCGUUAGGCGGAAUCACUGGGCUUAAAGCGUGUGUAGGCGGAUUGGUAAGUACCUUGUGAAAUCCCAUGGCUCAACCAUGGAACUGCUUGGUAUACUGCCUGUCUUGAGCUACUUAGGGGCAACCGGAACAAAUGGUGGAGCGGUGAAAUGCGUAGAGAUGUGGAGGAAUACCGAUGGCGAAGGCAGCCCCCUGGGAUAACACUGACGCUCAUGCACGAAAGCGUGGGGAGCAAACAGG
rnacentral:rRNA from 1 species